rnacentral:rRNA from 1 species
UACGAAGGUCCCGAGCGUUAUCCGGAUUUAUUGGGCUUAAAGGGUGCGUAGGCGGGGUAUUAAGUCAGUGGUGAAAGCCUUCAGCUCAACUGAAGAACUGCCAUUGAUACUGAUGAUCUUGAGUACGAUUGAGGUAGGCGGAAUGUGUCAUGUAGCGGUGAAAUGCUUAGAUAUGACACAGAACACCGAUUGCGAAGGCAGCUUACUAAGUCGUAACUGACGCUGAUGCACGAAAGCGUGGGGAGCAAACAGG